CAGGACCUGGCUUCCCACUGCCUGUAGUGUGUCCCUUACAAACUCUUGAACUUUGUUCUGUCUAGUGAGAGACCUGCCUCUCCUGCCCCAAAGCUCUGCUGCCUCACCAUGAAUGGGGUGAGACUUGACCUUUGGAGGUGACUAUAACUGAAGAUUGAAUUACUGAAGCCAAAAAAAAUAAAUAAAUAAAAGGUUCCCGUGUCAGUGGCUAUGAUGACACCUCAGGUUAUCACUCCUCAACAAAUGCAGCAGAUCCUCCAGCAGCAAGUGCUGAGCCCACAGCAGCUCCAGGUUCUCCUCCAGCAACAGCAGGCCCUCAUGCUUCAACAGCAGCUUCAAGAAUUUUACAAGAAACAACAGGAACAGUUGCAGCUUCAACUCCUCCAACAGCAACAUGCUGGAAAACAGCCGAAAGAGCAGCAGCAGCAGCAGGUGGCUACCCAGCAGUUGGCUUUCCAGCAGCAGCUUCUUCAGAUGCAGCAGCUGCAGCAGCAGCACCUCCUGUCUCUCCAGCGGCAAGGCCUUCUAACAAUUCAGCCCGGGCAGCCUGCCCUUCCCCUCCAACCUCUUGCUCAAGGCAUGAUUCCAACGGAACUGCAGCAGCUCUGGAAAGAAGUGACAAGUGCCCACACUGCAGAGGAAACCACAGGCAGCAACCACAGCAGCCUAGACCUGACCAGCACAUGCGUCUCGUCCUCCGCACCUUCCAAGACCUCCCUAAUCAUGAACCCACACGCCUCUACCAAUGGACAGCUCUCGGUCCACACCCCCAA
rnacentral:lncRNA from 1 species